rnacentral:rRNA from 1 species
ACGGGAGGCAGCAGUGGGGAAUAUUGGGCAAUGGAGGGAACUCUGACCCAGCAAUGCCGCGUGAGUGAAGAAGGUUUUCGGAUUGUAAAACUCUUUAAUCGGGGACGAAGAAAGUGACUGUACCCGAGGAAUAAGCAUCGGCUAACUACGUGCCAGCAGCCGCGGUAAUACGUAGGAUGCAAGCGUUAUCCGGAAUGACUGGGCGUAAAGGGUGCGUAGGCGGCAUGUCAAGUUGGCAGCGUAAUUCCGGGGCUUAACUCCGGAACUACUGCCAAAACUGGCGAGCUGGAGUGCGGCAGGGGUAUGUGGAAUUCCUAGUGUAGCGGUGGAAUGCGUAGAUAUUAGGAGGAACACCGGUGGCGAAAGCGACAUACUGGGCCGUAACUGACGCUGAGGCACGAAAGCGUGGGGAGCAAACAGGAUUAGAUACCCUGGUA